UCUGAUGUGAAGAGGAAGCCUAGGUAAGUC
rnacentral:piRNA from 1 species